rnacentral:rRNA from 1 species
CCUACGGGAGGCAGCAGUGAGGAAUAUUGGUCAAUGGGCGCGAGCCUGAACCAGCCAAGUAGCGUGAAGGAUGACUGCCCUACGGGUUGUAAACUUCUGUUAUAAAGGAAUAAAGUGAGGCACGUGUGCCUUUGUGUAUGGACUUUAUGAAUAAGGAUCGGCUAACUCCGUGCCAGCAGCCGCGGUAAUACGGAGGAUCCGAGCUUUCUGCGGAUUUAUUGGGUUUAAAGGGAGCGUAGAUGGGUUGUUAAGUCAGUUGUGAAAGUUUGCGGCUCAAUCGUAAAAUUGCAAUUGAUACUGGCAGUCUUGAGUACAGUUGAGGUAGGCGGCAUUCGUGGUGUAGCGGUGAAAUGCUUAGCUCUCACG